CAGGUCACUCCUACGGGAGGCAGCAGUGGGGAAUCUUGCACAAUGGGGGCAACCCUGAUGCAGCGACGCCGCGUGAGCGAUGAAGCCCUUCGGGGUGUAAAGCUCUUUCGGCAGGGAAGAUCUUGACGGUACCUGCAGAAGCAGCUGCGGCUAACUACGUGCCAGCAGCCGCGGUAAUACGUAGGCAGCAAGCGUUGUUCGGAGUUACUGGGCGUAAAGGGUGUGUAGGCGGUUCGUUAAGUCCUGUGUGAAAUCCCCCGGCUCAACUGGGGAACUGCACAGGAAACUGGCGGGCUUGAGUUCGGGAGAGGGAAGCGGAAUUCCGGGUGUAGCGGUGAAAUGCGUAGAUAUCCGGAGGAACACCGGUGGCGAAGGCGGCUUCCUGGACCGACACUGACGCUGAGGCGCGAAAGCUAGGGGAGCAAACGGGAUUAGAUACCCCGGUAGUCCUGGCCCUAAACGAUGAAUGCUUGGUGUGGCGGGUAUCGAUCCCUGCCGUGCCGAAGCUAACGCAUUAAGCAUUCCGCCUGGGGAGUACGGUCGCAAGGCUGAAACUUAAAGGAAUUGACG
rnacentral:rRNA from 1 species